rnacentral:rRNA from 1 species
UACGUAGGGUGCAAGCGUUGUCCGGAAUUAUUGGGCGUAAAGAGCUCGUAGGCGGCCUGUCGCGUCUGCUGUGAAAACUCGGGGCUUAACUCCGGGCCUGCAGUGGGUACGGGCAGACUAGAGUGCGGUAGGGGAGACUGGAAUUCCUGGUGUAGCGGUGAAAUGCGCAGAUAUCAGGAGGAACACCGGUGGCGAAGGCGGGUCUCUGGGCCGUAACUGACGCUGAGGAGCGAAAGCGUGGGGAGCGAACAGG